UGUGUAGGCGGUUGCUUAAGUUUGGUGUGAAAUCUCCCGGCUCAACUGGGAGGGUGCGCCGAAUACUGAGUGACUCGAGUGCGGGAGAGGAGAGUGGAAUUCCUGGUGUAGCGGUGAAAUGCGUAGAUAUCAGGAGGAACACCGGCGGUGUAGACGGCUCUCUGGACCGUAACUGACGCUGAGACACGAAAGCGUGGGUAGCAAACA
rnacentral:rRNA from 1 species